UACGUGGGGUGCAAACGUUGCUCGGAAUUAUUGGGCGUAAAGCGCGCGUAGGCGGCUACUUAAGUCGGAUGUGAAAGCCCCUGGCUCAACUGGGGAAGUGCACCCGAAACUGAGUGGCUUGAGUGCGGAAGAGGGUCGCGGAAUUCCCGGUGUAGAGGUGAAAUUCGUAGAUAUCGGGAGGAACACCGGUGGCGAAGGCGGCGACCUGGGUCGACACUGACGCUGAGGCGCGAAAGCGUGGGGAGCAAACAGG
rnacentral:rRNA from 1 species